UGGUGACGGACCCGUCCACCCAGUCUGUGCCCCCUUCGUCGCAGGAUGUGUCCGGCCAGCAGCAACAGAUGCAGGUGGAGAGCGUUGGCGACCAUGUUCCCACCUACUCCUACCAGUCCAAAUAGCGGCGUGCGGGGAGAAUCUUCCUGUGACAGUGUUGCCUUGAGAGAGGUGGCUGCACUGAGAAUGUGGAGAGAGAGAGAGAGAGAACAGAGAGAGAGAAGAAAAGAGAAGAGAGAAGAGAGUGAGAUUGCUUCCAGAUUGCCCAGGCACCAAAAAAGAGACUCUUUUUUCAUUUCCUACCUGGCCUGAGAGAAAACGAAUGAGGGAGGAUGGGAGGGGGGGGGGAGUGGAGGGAGGGGGUGGGAGGGGGGGGAGGGGGGUAGAGAGGGAGGGAGGGGGGGGAGGGAGUGUUGGCUGGGCGCAGUGCAAAGAAGUAAAAAUGUUGUUUUGUCUGGUAAACUGCCUGGUGGGGAAGGCCGAGGCUUGAAUUGUGUCUCCAGAAAUUUCUCAAAAGAAAAAAUAUAUAAGAACAAAAAAAUAAAAAAUGUAAAAAGGAAACAAAACUUACACAAAAAAAACAUGUUGAAUGAGCAGGUAGACAGUGUUUAUUUUGUAAUUAGAACGGGAGUCAAGUUUGAGAUACGCAGAGAUUGUCUUCCUCAGAUAUUAAGCUACCAUUUCUUUUCACCUUUUUAUGUUCUCGUGUUGAAAAUUUUAGUUUUCUAGAUAUAUUCAAAAAACAAACAAGUGUUUUUCUUUUCUUGAAUCUUCAUGGCCUUAAUUUCAGCGUCAGAUACUUUUUACAAAAAGUUGAAUCUGUCGUCUCGUUGAUAUAAAGCUGACUAACCAGUAUCCUGGACCAUCUCUAUGGUCCAAGACAUUGUAGGAGUCGAGCUACAGAGAGAUAAGGAACUAUCACAUAAGCUGUACAGGUUUAAUAGAGAAGAGCUUGUUCUUUCUUUUCUUCGUUAGAAGAAAACUUUGAUAAUAAUUAUGUCAGAGGUAACUGAGUGUAAGAAGAAAACUAGUUGUUUGGCAGUAAAGAGUCUUGAGGGGGAGGGAAAAGAUGAAGCUUUGAAGAGAUUUUUCAUAACGAGAAAAAAAUACGUACUGCAUUGUAGAAGAUGCAGUCUGUUGCAAAUGCUGAAUUUGUUUUUUUUUAUUAUCAUAAUUAUUAUUUUACAUGGCGAAAUUGCUGUUGAUGACAUUAGUGCUUUUUAUCUGCAACAUUUUACCUUUUUUAUGAGCUUUAAUGAUGUUUUUAGCCCGCUUUGCUUGUCACACUGCAAAAAAAAAAAAAAAAAAAGGACAAAAAUAAUAAAA